UAAGGUGAAACCGCGAAAGGCUCAUUAAAUCAGUUAUGGUUCCUUAGAUCGUACCCACAAUUACUUGGAUAACUGUGGUAAUUCUAGAGCUAAUACAUGCAAACAGAGCUCCGACCGGAGACGGGAGGAGUGCUUUUAUUAGAUCAAAACCAAUCGGUGGCGGGUUCGCUCGUUAUCGUACAACUUGGUGACUCUGAAUAACUUUACGCUGAUCGCACGGUCAUCGCACCGGCGACGCAUCUUUCAAAUGUCUGCCUUAUCAACUGUCGAUGGUAGGUUCUGCGCCUACCAUGGUUGUAACGGGUAACGGGGAAUCAGGGUUCGAUUCCGGAGAGGGAGCCUGAGAAACGGCUACCACAUCCAAGGAAGGCAGCAGGCGCGCAAAUUACCCACUCCCGGCACGGGGAGGUAGUGACGAAAAAUAACGAUACGGGACUCAUCCGAGGCCCCGUAAUCGGAAUGAGUACACUCUAAACCCUUUAACGAGGAUCAAUUGGAGGGCAAGUCUGGUGCCAGCAGCCG
rnacentral:rRNA from 1 species